rnacentral:rRNA from 1 species
GACGAGCCACACGAACGUUAUUCGGAAUUACUGGGCUUAAAGGGGGCGUAGGCGGCGCGGAAAGUUGGGUGUGAAAUCCCUCGGCUCAACCGAGGAACUGCGCCCAAAACUACCGUGCUCGAGGAAGAUAGAGGUGAGCGGAACUUACGGUGGAGCGGUGAAAUGCGUUGAUAUCGUAAGGAACACCCGUGGCGAAAGCGGCUCACUGGGUCUUCUCUGACGCUGAUGCACGAAAGCUAGGGGAGCAAACGGG